ACACGACUCUCGGCAACGGAUAUCUCGGCUCUCGCAUCGAUGAAGAACGUAGCGAAAUGCGAUACCUGGUGUGAAUUGCAGAAUCCCGCNAACCAUCGAGUCUUUGAACGCAAGUUGCGCCCGAGGNCAUUNGGCCNAGGGCACGCCUGCCUGGGCGUCACGC
rnacentral:rRNA from 1 species